rnacentral:rRNA from 1 species
AACGAACGCUGGCGGCAGGCCUAACACAUGCAAGUCGAGCGAGGUAGCAAUACCUAGCGGCGGACGGGUGAGUAACGCGUGGGAACGUACCCUUUGGUUCGGAAUAGCCCCGGGAAACUGGGAGUAAUACCGGAUACGGUCGAGAGACGAAAGAUUUAUCGCCGAAGGAUCGGCCCGCGUUGGAUUAGGUAAUUGGUGGGGUAAUGGCCUACCAAGCCGACGAUCCAUAGCUGGUUUGAGAGGAUGAUCAGCCACACUGGGACUGAGACACGGCCCAGACUCCUACGGGAGGCAGCAGUGGGGAAUCUUAGACAAUGGGCGCAAGCCUGAUCUAGCCAUGCCGCGUGAGCGAUGAAGGCCUUAGGGGUUGUAAAAGCUCUUUCAGUGGGGAAGAUAAUGACUGUACCCACAGAAGAAGCCCCGGCUAACUCCGUG